GAUGAACGCUGGCGGCGUGCCUAACACAUGCAAGUCGAACGAGAACUCGAUCUUCGGAACGAGGGAAAGUGGCGAACGGGUGAGUAACACGUUGGUGACCUGCCCCGAAGAGGGGGAUAACUCUGGGAAACCAGAGCUAAUACCCCGGAUGUUUAAGGGUUUAGACGCCUUAGACUAAAGCUUCGGCGCUUCGGGAGGGGCCUGCGGGCUAUCAGCUAGUUGGUGGGGUAAAAGCCUACCAAGGCGAAGACGGCUAGGGGGCGUGAGAGCGUGACCCCCCACAAGGGAACUGAGAAACGGUCCCUACUCCUACGGGUGGCAG
rnacentral:rRNA from 1 species